GUGGGGAAUAUUGGACAAUGGGCGCAAGCCUGAUCCAGCAAUGCCGCGUGGGUGAAGAAGGUCUUCGGAUCGUAAAGCCCUUUCGACAGGGACGAUGAUGACGGUACCUGUAGAAGAAGCCCCGGCUAACUUCGUGCCAGCAGCCGCGGUAAUACGAAGGGGGCUAGCGUUACUCGGAAUUACUGGGCGUAAAGGGCGCGUAGGCGGCUCUGUUAGUCAGGCGUGAAAUUCCUGGGCUUAACCUGGGGACUGCGCUUGAUACUGCAGGGCUUGAGGCCGAGAGAGGGUGGUGGAAUUCCCAGUGUAGAGGUGAAAUUCGUAGAUAUUGGGAAGAACACCGGUGGCGAAGGCGACCACCUGGCUCGGUUCUGACGCUGAGGCGCGACAGCGUGGGGAGCAAACAGGAUUAGAAACCCCAGUAGUCC
rnacentral:rRNA from 1 species